rnacentral:rRNA from 1 species
GCAGGCUGAAAUUCGCCUGUAUGAAGCCGGAAUUGCUAGUAAUGGCAGGUCAGCAUACUGCCGUGAAUACGUUCCCGGGCCUUGUACACACCGCCCGUCACACCAUGAGAGUUGGGGAUACCCAAAGCCCGUGAGCCAACUGUAAAGAGGCAGCGGUCUAAGGUAGAAUCAAUGAUUGGGGUGAAGUCGUAACAAGGUACC